rnacentral:rRNA from 1 species
UGGGGAGUAUUGCACAAUGGGCGAAAGCCUGAUGCAGCAACGCCGCGUGGGUGAAGAAGGCCCUUGGGUCGUAAAGCCCUUUCGACAGGAAAGAAGGGAUACUAGGCGAACAGUCUAGUGUUUUGACGGUACCUGGAGAAGAAGCACCGGCUAAUUUCGUGCCAGCAGCCGCGGUAAUACGAAAGGUGCAAGCGUUGUUCGGAAUUAUUGGGCGUAAAGCGCACGCAGGCGGACUUGUAUGUCGAUUGUGAAAUACCCGGGCUCAACCCGGGAAUUGCAGUCGAAACUGCAAGCCUUGAAUACCUGAGAGGGUGGGAGAAUUCCUGGUGGAGAAGUGAAAUUCGUAGAGAUCAGGAGGAAUACCGGAGGCGAAGGCGCCUACCUGGCAGUGUAUUGACGCUCAAGUGCGAAAGCGUGGGGAGCAAACAGG